AUAUAUAUAUAUAUCUCUUUUAAAAGAAGAUAAGGACAGUUGACUAGAGAGAUAGGGGAAGGAAAAAUCUUGAAGCUUUGAUCUCCAUCUUCUUCAAGUUUAGGUCUCAAGUUAUUGGGAGUAUUCUAGGGAUUUUGACAAGGAGUAUUUGG